rnacentral:lncRNA from 1 species
AUUCGGUGGUCUGUUUGUUUUAGCCGCUCCUUGAACAGAUUUGACAUGAAUUUUUAUUUGAUAUUUCCUGUCAUAAAAAAAAAGGUUAAACGACAUAUCUAACUCAAGUUUGAUAAAAUUAGAUUGAUCUAGCUGUUUGUUUGAACCGGGAAAAUACAAAACGCGGAAAACAGUAUGGGAUUAUACGAGAGGGACGAAAGAUAACAGAGGGACAGUACUAGUCAAACUCAUAAAUCGAAAAUAAACUGACACCGACAUGGCGAAAAAUUGAAAAAGACAAACAGGCAAACAAUAGUACACAUGACACAACACAGAAAACUAAAGAAUAAGCAACACGAAUCCCACCAAAAACUAGGGGUGAUCUCAGGUGCUCCGGAAGGGUAAGCAGAUCCUGCUCAUGUGCACGUGGCACCCGUCAUGUUGCUUAUGUGAUAACAAAUCCGGUAAAUAGUCUAAUUCGGAAGGUCUCAUUCAUGAAAGGGAAGGGGAUUGUAGUUACGACGUUAGGAACAUAUCCGAUAUCAUUUGUGAAACGGUUAUUCCAUAACGGUCAACCAACUCGUGAUGACGUCCGUAAAACUUACGAAGGGAUGAUUUCAACUUAACUAUCUGGAACUCUUGGUUUAAUAGCUUUCUUGUGAGCAGCAGCUCUCUAUCAAGAAAAUGCACUGCUGGUGGACGUUUCGUCCCCGAGGGUAUCACCAGCCCAAUAGUUAGUAUUGACAUGAAUAUCAAUAAUGUGGUCAUUUUUAUAAAUUUUCUGUUUAAAAAACUUUGAUUUUUUGAAAAAAAACUAAGGAUUUUCUUAUCCCAG